UAAGAAAGUGAUGCAACUUUUAAUUGCAUUUCAUUUUGAUUUACCUGCAUAUAUGCAAUGGUUAGUAAAAAAACUGAUACAGGUAACCAUGGACCCCCUCUACAAGACAUCUGUUUCUGCCUCUCUGUCACAAGGUCACCUCCUCCAAUACCCCCUCCACACUCAAAGAUUCUUUGUCUUGCAAAGUCACUCAGUGACCCUGCCAGUGCAGGUGCCACUUAAAAAGCACCCAGUCCACACUGUAAAAAGGUUGGCAUUUGGAAGGGCAUCCAGCUGUAAAAACCAUGCCAAAACAGACACAGAAGCAUUAUGCAGUCUUCUGCUAGGCCAGCUGCUGUCAAACCGUCCAACCAAUGCCAGCAUGGAAGGAGGACGUUAAAUGAGGAUGAUGAUGUCCAAGUAUCCUGUUUACUGAUGGCAAGGUGAGACAGCUACCAGUUUGGAGCCAGCCAUGUAUUUGGACUCGGUAUGAAAUUUAUCAUAAAUCAGAACUUACUGGUAUGUUAUCAGCAACCAUACUUCAACUCUUGCCUUCUCUCAGAUCAGCUGUAUAGUUGUCUAUAUUUCGAGCAAGAGAAUUACUGUACAGGAUGUGAAACUCGUAUUUCUGGGUGUGAUGCUUUGUGUCACAGUGCCAGGCCACAAUGUGGAGAAUAAAGGAAAAGAGACUAAAAGAGCCAAACACAAAUGAAUGACCAAGAAAGGGAAACAACAGGACAGAGGCACUGUUGUAAAAGUGAAGCCUCCAACACAUCGUCUGAUCUAAUCAUUGCAAAUGACUGCCAGGCAGAUGAAAGUUUAUUAACAUUUCUUUCAAAUUUCUAGGAGAAUUUUUCAUUUAGAUAAUGAAGAAAUGUUUCUUAAAGGUAAUUCAGUCGUUAAAUAAUGUCAGGUAUGGAUUAUGUAUGCUGGGGAAGGAGGUGAGAUGAUGUGUGCUUCCCUCAUAAUUGCCAAUGUAUCGUAAGCAACUUUUCGUAAGUUUGUGAUAACAGACUGUGAUAAUUUGGCUUGUUUUCAAUACUUUAUU